CUGGCUGUGUCCCCUCCCAGCUUGUGCACGCCCAGCCUUUUUGCUGGUGGGAUGGGGUGAGGAGCCGAAGAGCCCUUGGCUCAGCACCAACCAAAACAGCAAUGUGCCAUGAGCAUUAUUGUCAUCCUGAGUCUAAAUCAGCACUAUACCAGUUACUGGGAAGUAAACUUACUCUAUCCCAGCUGAAACCUGGAUCCCAAGUGGAAGCAACACAAAGAGAGUGAGAGUAAUUUCAGACCUAACCCUUCCAGGAGCUGAAGCUCUGCAUCAUACUAGACAGAGGUGGUUAAACAUCAGCCCUGGCACAUGGAGAUUGACGUGCCACAUAAAAAUGAAAUUAGGGAGGGCUCAGAGCAGCCCAUUGCUCCCUCUUUUUCAUUGAAUGAUUUUCUUAGCUGUCCUGAGGUUUUGGCUUGAGUUGACCAGAGCUCACUCGAACAUUGCUGCAGCAAUUCAGAUUUAAUUUGUGGGUAGGAAUGAUUUGCAUGGAAAGAAAAAGUACUUCAAAGUAUGUGAAGAUAAGAGACUUAUGUAAAAAUUAAGCGGCCUAUGGUCUGCAGGAUAACGGCAGUGGCUUUUGCAUCCCAGCCAGAGACCUCAGAGAAGUACCAGACUGAGAGAACACUCCAACUGGAACAGCACAAAACAGAUCUUUAAUGAAAGCAAUUGAAACAACACUAAAUAAACUGUUUUAAUGGAGUUCCAAGGAGAUGUGUAAAAGCUGCUAGUAAAAUCAAUUGAAGGCCUGUCACAGUGCCUCAAAAGUCCCUUCACAGCCCUCCUGCUGGCAGCAGUUCAA